rnacentral:tRNA from 1 species
UGUCCGAUGGUGUAAUGGCAACACGGCAGAUUUUGGUUCUGCAAUUCUAGGUUCGAGCCCUAGUCGGACAA